rnacentral:rRNA from 1 species
UUUCUAUGGAGAGUUUGAUCCUGGCUCAGGACGAACGCUGGCGGCGUGCUUAACACAUGCAAGGCGAGCGAGGAAACACCUUCGGGUGUGAAUUAGCGGCGAACGGGUGAGGAACACGUGAGAAAUCUGCCUUCAACUCUGGGAUAACUCCGGGAAACCGGGGCUAAUACCGGAUAUGAGCCUUGAUCGCAUGAUCGGGGCUGGAAAGUUUUUCGGUUGAAGAUGAUCUCGCGGCCUAUCAGCUUGUUGGUGAGGUAGUGGCUCAGCAAGGCGACGACGGGUAGCCGGCCUGAGAGG